rnacentral:rRNA from 1 species
GGAUUCCCCUAGUAACGGCGAGUGAAGCGGGAAGAGCCCAGCACCGAAUCGCACGCCUUCACCGGCGUCGCGAACUGUGGUGUUUAGGACGAGCGCAUGCCGCGAGACGGCGUCAGAGUCCUCCUGAUCGGGGCUUUGCAGAGCGGGUGUCAGCCCUCUACGGCGCCGGAUCGACGUGCCCGCCACGUCCUCGGAGUCGGGUUGUUUGAGAAUGCAGCCCAAAGCGGGUGGUAAACUCCAUCUAAGGCUAAAUACAGAC